AAGUCGUAACAAGGUUUCCGUAGGUGAACCUGCGGAAGGAUCAUUAACACGUUCCACGUAUCCACCCGAGAACUCGUUUUUCAUCAAGGAUUAAGCUUCAGUUAGCCUGUAAACUCUGUGCAUUCCGCAAAAUAUUUCGAUAAGGAAACAGGCUGCAUAAGCCUGGCGGCUGUCAGUAGAAAUGUCUUCGAUUCAAUUCGAAGGAGGCGCUGAAGAUCUGGUCCUGUUUCUGUUCCUUAUCGAAUUUUUACAAUUAUUUACCCCUUUCGAAACGUACUAAUUUAUAUUUCUUUCUAAGAAAUUGGCCGGCAUUUUCGGAUGCUUGUCUAACUCUAAGAAAAACCUUAAGAACAACUCUUAACAACGGAUAUCUUGGCUCUC
rnacentral:misc_RNA from 1 species